CCUUCUUGUUUGUAAUUAUAGAAUAUUAUAAUGAUUGCAUUCAGUCUUCCCAUGUAAAUUGAAAGCCAUCGGAGCAUUUUCUUGACUUUUUUAUAGAAUUGGUACAGUGACUUAAGUUCUACUCAUCAUGUAAUGAGUAAUGAGUGCUUUUAGAAUGAAUACAAAUGUAAUUUUUAGGAAGUUCAGGAAAAAAUCUUACCAAGAAUAUCCAAGGGGGGCUGGCGAGUCCCAGUGCGAGUGGAGGGUGCCAGAGGUAGGGGGCCGAGAAACAAAGUUCCCAGGGCUCCCUCCAGGGCCGUGGUCAGGGCUGCGCGUUUGGCCGCCCCCCUCCUCGCGAAGACAAUGGCUUCCAAACGCCUGCGCGCAGUCAUCCUCGGGCUGCCCGGCUGGGGCAAGGGCACCGUGUGCCAGAGGAUCGCCCAGAACUUUGGCCUCCAGCAUCUCUCCAGCGGCCACUUCUUGGGGGAGAACAUCAAAGCCAACACCGAAGUUGGUGAGACGGCACAGCAGUAUAUAGAGAAAAGUCUUUUGGUUCCAGACCAUGUGAUCACACGCCUAAUGAUGUCGGAGUUGGAGAAUAGGCGUGGCCAGCACUGGCUCCUUGAUGGUUUUCCUAGGACAUUAGGACAAGCCGAAGCCCUGGACAAAAUCUGUGAAGUGGAUCUAGUGAUCAGUUUGAACAUUCCAUUUGAAACACUUAAAGAUCGUCUCAGCCGCUGUUGAAUUCACCCUCCUAGUGGAAGGGUAUAUAACCUGGACUUCAAUCCACCUCAUGUACAUGGUAUUGAUGAUGUCACCGGUGAGCCAUUAGUCCAGCAGGAGGAUGAUAAACCUGAAGCAGUUGCUGCCAGGCUAAGACAGUACAAAGACGUGGCGAAGCCAGUCAUUGACUUAUACAAGAGCCGAGGGGUGCUCCACCAAUUUUCCGGGACGGAGACGAACAAAAUCUGGCCCUACAUUUACACACUUUUCUCGAACAAGAUCACACCUAUUCAGUCCAAAAGAAGCAUAUUGACCCUGCCCAAUGGAAGAACCAGAAAGAUGUGGUCAUUCAUUCAAUUGUGUGUGUAGUAUUGGUGCUGUGUCCAAAUUAGAAGCUAGCUGAGGUAGCUUACAGCAUCUUUUCUAGUUGAAAUGGUGAACUGAUAGGAAAACAAAUGAGUAGAAAGAGUUCACAAGAGGCCUUCCUCUGCCUUUCAAAAGGAAAGUCACCUACACAUGUUUAAGGUGUCUCUGCACAUGUCUCAAGCCCUUCACAAGAAAGCAAGUACAGUGUGGAUUUCAAAUGGUAUGUAACCUCAGCUCCAGCUGGUUUUUGACAGCCUGGUCUUGAGUGAGUGUGUCCACAGUUCAUUUUUUUCCGGUGAGAAUAACUCCUUUUCUAUAUCCACACUCCAUAAAGUCUCUCCUUUUCAGACAUCCUGGGAUGAAAGAAUUUGGCUGUUUUUUUUUUUUUUUUUUGACAUCUGUUUUCUCUUUUAGGCUGUUAAACAAAACUGAUAGUUAUUGCUCUUAUCCCUCUCAAAUUCUUCUAAGAACUGAGAGUGAUGGGGCUGUAUUGAAUUUCUGUAUGCACCGGAAACUGAGCCAUGAAGAGGAUCUUAUUAAACUGCUGGUCUGACUCUCAUGGAUUGACACUGUUCCUUUCUUUUAUUGUGAAAAAAAAAUAACCCCCUAAAAGUCUUGGGAACCCCCUAAAGUCUUUUGGAAAUCCUCAAAAAGCAUGGGAAGUAUAAGUAUUUAGCUACAUAAAUGUUGUAAGAUCAUAUCUUAUGUAUAGAAGUAAUAAGACUAUUUGGAAUUACUAGACUAAUUGAAUAGUUAACGGUUUCUAUUCAGUACAACAAAAUGUAUUUUGAAAAUGCUGCCAACUAUUGAUGCUGACAGUGUUUCACUCCUAUGAGUGACCCAAACAUAUUAUAAAUCGGUGGUAAAGGGAGUGGAGCCUGUGGGGUUGAGCAGAAUGUUGUACUAGCUGUGCCUGGACUGAGUAUAAUAACUUUAUGAUUAUGGGAAAACAAAAUCUUUAUUUUUUUUUUCUGUUCCAAAGAUUCAUCCUGUGGGGUGGCCAUGAAGUCUAGAAUUAGAUACUAACAUUUUGUCAUGCAUUAUAACAUAGUAUCAAGAAACCAUUUGUUAAAAGAUUUAAAAAAAGAAAAAAGAAAAAAAAAGAAAAUCCAAGGGAAAACAGAACAGUAAUAGAAGUACAGAUACAGCAGCAUGGCAAGAUAAGUCCACAGAAUUUACUUACAGUGUACAUACUAGUGAUAAAAAAACAGCCUAGCAUUUUUUUUUUAAAUAGUAAUUUUAGGCUGGGUGCCAUGACUUAACGCCAGUAAUCCCAGCACUUUGGGAGGCCGGGGCAGGCGAAUCACGAGGUUAGGAGUUCGA